rnacentral:sRNA from 1 species
CAGGUUUGUUUGGAACUAUGGGGCCGAGUUGAGGUUCCGCCAUGAUUUCUUUAUUCACGGCGUGUAGAAUUGCUGUUUGAGCAAGUUCAAUAAUCUAGCUUGGUCGGGCCAACUUUGCGGGCAGCGAUGCUCAAACGGUAAAUGGGACCACAAAGAAGAUGUUCAUGGGUCUCUAUUAUCUACCAGUUCCAACAGGUCUUGGUAAUUGGAUAAGAAACCUUGCUCAGGAGUUCUUCAGAGAAUCGGUCUAAUGAAAUGGCAUGAGGGUAUCUUGCCGGUGCCGGCCGGGGGAAUAAAUUGGCACAUAAAAUGACAC